rnacentral:rRNA from 1 species
CGUGGGCAACCUGCCUCAUAGAGGGGAAUAGCCUUCCGAAGGAGAUUAAUACCGCAUAAGAUUGUAGUACCGCAUGAUACAGCAAUUAAAGGAGCAAUCCGCUAUGAGAUGGGCCCGCGGCGCAUUAGCUAGUUGGUGAGGUAACGGCUCACCAAGGCGACGAUGCGUAGCCGACCUGAGAGGGUGAUCGGCCACAUUGGGACUGAGACACGGCCCAGACUCCUACGGGAGGCAGCAUG